UCACUCUACUUCAACAAGCAUAUCAACACUGCAAUCUUACAGGCCAGUAGUGAAUGACUAUGGACCACCAUCUUUCAGCUUUUCACAGGUAUCAUUCAUGCCAGGGGGCUUGUACGUGAAUGCUUGGCAGAAACAGAGAGAAAUGCAAGAUCCUAACAGGCAAAGUGCAAUGUUAUUGAAUUGGACCAACUCUCCCGACUGAAGAUCUACAAGAUGAAGCUAUUAGUCAAUACUUCUAUUGCACCAAUAAAAACGAAACUUUUACUUUA